rnacentral:rRNA from 1 species
CACGUAGGGGGCAAGCGUUGUCCGGAUUUAUUGGGCGUAAAGCGCUCGUAGGCGGUUCGGUAAGUCGGGUGUUAAACCCCCAGGCUCAACCUGGGGACGCCACUCGAUACUGCUGUGACUUGAGUCCGGUAGGGGAGCGUGGAAUUCCUGGUGUAGCGGUGAAAUGCGCAGAUAUCAGGAGGAACACCAGCGGCGAAGGCGGCGCUCUGGGCCGGUACUGACACUGAGGAACGAAAGCGUGGGGAGCAAACAGG